UCUCCAGCUGUUUUUGGACUACAAUUCCCAUCAUCCCUGACCACUGGGAUGAUGAGAGUUGUAGUCCAAAGACAGCCGGAGA